rnacentral:rRNA from 1 species
GACGAACGCUGGCGGCGUGCCUAAUACAUGCAAGUUGAGCGCUGAAGGUUGGUACUUGUGCCAACUGGAUGAGCAGCGAACGGGUGAGUAACGCGUGGGGAAUCUGCCUUUGAGCGGGGGACAACAUUUGGAAACGUAUGCUAAUCCCGCAUAAACACUUUCAACACAAGUGUUAAGGUUGAAAGAUGCCAUUGCAUCAUUCAAAGACGGUCCCGCGUUGUAUUAGCUGGGUGGUGAGGUAAAGGCGCAAUAAGGCGGUGAUACAUAGACGACCUGAGAGGGUGGUCGGCCGCAUUGGGACUGAGACAGGGCCCAAACGGCUACGGGAAGCAGCAGUACGGAAUCGGCGGCAAGGGACGAAAGUCUGACCGAGCAACGCCGAGUGAGUGAAGAAGGUUGUCGGAUCGUAAAACUCGGUUGGUAGAGAAGAACGUUGGUGAGAGUGGAAAGCUCAUCAAGUGACGGUAACUACCCAGAAAGGGACGGCUAACUACGUG